rnacentral:tRNA from 1 species
CAAGAUGUAGCUAUAAAAUGAAAGCAUUCAGCUUACACCUGAAAGAUAUCUGACACACCAGAUCAUCUUGA